GGCGUAGUCGAUGGGAAACAGGUUAAUAUUCCUGUACUUGGUGUUACUGCGAAGGGGGGACGGAGAAGGCUAUGUUGGCCGGGCGACGGUUGUCCCGGUUUAAGCGUGUAGGCUGGUUUUCCAGGCAAAUCCGGAAAAUCAAGGCUGAGGCGUGAUGACGAGGCACUACGGUGCUGAAGCAACAAAUGCCCUGCUUCCAGGAAAAGCCUCUAAGCAUCAGGUAACAUCAAAUCGUACCCCAAACCGACACAGGUGGUCAGGUAGAGAAUACCAAGGCGCUUGAGAGAACUCGGGUGAAGGAACUAGGCAAAAUGGUGCCGUAACUUCGGGAGAAGGCACGCUGAUAUGUAGGUGAAGUCCCUAGCGGAUGGAGCUGAAA
rnacentral:rRNA from 1 species